UAUUAUUAAUGCAAUGGGCUUGAAUGGGUAAUUUAUCAUGAAGAAUAAUCUUUUGAAAAGAAAACCCUAAAUUCUGUUUCAUUUUGACCGGGGCUGCUCUGUCUAAUUGUAAACCAUGUGGCGGCCAUGUUCAUGAUUUAAUGUAACAAUAAAUUAUCUUUUUCCUCUAAAUCUAGAUUAUCAGUUCAAAAUCUUCUACUCGACGUCUAUAUCUAUAAAUCCUUUAUAACUAGUUCAGUCCUAGUCUAAAAACCAAUGUUACGACUCAAUUCAAUAAUUCAUGUUGAUGGGUCUAGACUGAAUCGAUUUAAGAUAAUUUAUCUUAUCGUAAUUACUAAUUUUAUUAGAUUUAUUUAAAUAGAACUAAUAAUUUAAAAUUUAGAUAGAUCUAUCUAGACUAGUUACUAGAUCUAUAGAAAUUCUCAAUCAAGAUUAUCUAAAUCUAUAUAGAUCAAGAAGAAGAACAGUUUAAAGAAAAUAAUACCAGGGUUAUGCUCCUUUCACCGUUGAGUUCCAGGAUGAAGAAUGAAAGACAGAGAGCAAUGUGAAGACAUCAAAGAAUGUGCAGGUCUGCCAUAAAAUGGUUUAUCCAGGGCUAAGUACAGAGAGGAAUAUAGAAGGGCUGUUGACUGAUCUUGUGUGGUGCCCCCAUGGCUCAACAGACUGAUUGAUAAUUCCAGGAUGAAGAAUGAAAGACAGAGAGCAAUGUGACGACAUCAAAGAAUGUGCAGGUCUGCCAUGAAAUGGUUUAUCCAGGGCUAAGUACAGAGAGGAAUAUAGAAGGGCUGUUGACAGAUCUUGUGUGGUGCCCCCAUGGUUCAACAGACUGAUUGAUAGAAAAUAAUACCAGGGUAAUGGUCCUUUCACUGUUGAGUUCCAGGAUAAAGAAUGAGAAAGACAGAGAGCAAUGUGAAGACAUCAAAGAAUGUGCAGGUCUGCCAUGAAAUGGUUUAUCCAGGGCUAAGUACAGAGAGGAAUAUAGAAGGGCUGUUGACAGAUCUUGUGUGGUGCCCCCAUGGUUCAACAGACUGAUUGAUAGAAAAUAAUACCAGGGUUAUGGUCCUUUCACUGUUGAGUUCCAGGAUGAAGAAUGAAAGACAGAGAGCAAUGUGAAGACAUCAAAGAAUGUGCAGGUCUGCCAUGAAAUGGUUUAUCCAGGGCUAAGUACAGAGAGGAAUAUAGAAGGGCUGUUGACAGAUCUUGUGUGGUGCCCCCAUGGUUCAACAGACUGAUUGAUAGAAAAUGAUACCAGGGUCAUGCUCCUUUCACCGUUGAGUUCCAGGAUGAAGAAUGAAAGACAGAGAGCAAUGUGAAGACAUCAAAGAAUGUGGAGGUCUGCCAUGAAAUGGUUUAUCCAGGGCUAAGUACAGAGAGGAAUAUAGAAGGGCUGCUGACAGAUCUUGUGUGGUGCCCCCAUGGUUCAACAGACUGAUUGAUAGAUAAUGAAAAUAAUACCAGGGUUAUGGUCCUUUCACUGUUGAUUUCCAGGAUGAAGAAUGAAAAACAGAGAGCAAUGUGAAGACAUCAAAAAAAUGUGCAGGUCUGCCAGGAAAUGGUUUAUCCAGGGCUAAGUACAGAGAGGAAUAUAGAAGGGCUGAUGACAGAUCUUGUGUGGUGCCCCUAUGGUUCAACAGACUGAUUGAUAGAAAAUAAUACCAGGGUUAUGGUCCUUUCACUGUUGAGUUCCAGGAUGAAGAAUGAAAGACUGAGAGCAAUGUGAAGACAUCAAAGAAUGUGCAGGUCUGCCAUGAAAUGGUUUAUCCAGGGCUAAGUACAGAGAGGAAUAUAGAAGGGCUGUUGACAGAUCUUGUGUGGUGCCCCCAUGGUUCAACAGACUGAUUGAUAG